AAACAUGUCUUUUUGAGUUAAUUUUAAAGUCUAGCCUGCCCACUGAGUAGUUUUAAAUGGCCGCAGUAUUUUGACUGUGCAAAGGUAGCAUAAUCAUUAGUCUUUUAAUUGAAGGCUGGUAUGAAUGGUUGGACGAAGUAUAAGCUGUUUCAUAUAAAUUUAUUAUAGAAUUUUAUAUUUUAGUAAAAAAGCUAAAAUUUAUUUAAAAGACGAGAAGACCCUAUAAAUCUUUAUAUUUAGUUUUAAUUUAAUUUUUUAGAUUAUUUUUGUUUUAUUAAUAUUAAGUAUUUUGUUGGGGUGAUAUUAAAAUUUAAUUAACUUUUAAUAAUUAUAAAUCAUUAAUUUAUGAUUUGUUGAUCCAAUAAUAUUGAUUAUAAGAUUAAGUUACUUUAGGGAUAACAGCGUAAUUUUUUUUAAGAGUUCAUAUCGACAAAAAAGUUUGCGACCUCGAUGUUGGAUUAAGGUAUAAUUUUGGGCGUAGCUGUUCAAAUAUUAAGUCUGUUCGACUUUUAAAUCCUUACAUGAUC
rnacentral:rRNA from 1 species